AUUGAACGCUGGCGGCAGGCCUAACACAUGCAAGUCGAACGAGUGGCGUCCGGGUAAGCAAUGCCUGGGAAACUGCCUGGUGGAGGGGGGUAACUACUGGCAACGGUAGCUAAUACCGCAUAACACCGGAUGUGCCCCGAUGGGCUUAGCUAGUAGGUGGGGUAAAGGCUCACCGAGGCGACGAUCCCUAGCUGGUCGGAGAGGAUGACCAGCAACACUGGAACUGGGAAACUGUCCAGACUCCUAAGGGAGACAGCAUUGGGGAAUAUUGCACAAUGGGCGAAAGCCUGAUGCAGCCAUGCCGCGUGUAUGAAGAAGGCCUUCGGGUUGUAAAGUACUUUCAGCUGGGAGGCGUUACCCUCAGAAGAAGCACCGGCUAACUCCGUGCCAGCAGCCGCGGUAAUUC
rnacentral:rRNA from 1 species